rnacentral:rRNA from 1 species
UACGUAGGGGGCAAGCGUUGUCCGGAUUUAUUGGGCGUAAAGAGCUCGUAGGCGGUUUGGUAAGUCGGGUGUGAAAUCUCCACGCUCAACGUGGAGGGGCCACCUGAUACUGCCAUGACUGGAGUCCGGUAGAGGAGUGUGGAAUUCCCGGUGUAGCGGUGAAAUGCGCAGAUAUCAGGAGGAACACCGGUGGCGAAGGCGGGUCUCUGGGCCGAUACUGACGCUGAGGAGCGAAAGCGUGGGGAGCGAACAGG